CCUGUUUGUUCCCAGAGCAGGCUGGGGCCAAGGCCACAGAGAGAGCUGAGCAAGCUGUCCUGGCUGCUGGGCCUUUGCCAAAGCCUCGGGGGAAGGAGCCUUGGACAAAACAAGAUGAGCUUUCUCCAGGGAGAGCUGAUGGGGCAGGGUGACUGUCUGGGUCAAAGCCCAGAGAUGAGGGAUAGAGGAAAAUAAUGAAAAGUAGCAGCAGUAGGUACCAUUUACCCAAAGCCUCCUUUGUGGACAAAGCAGUUUUCAAGACAUCGCCUCAUUGGAUGGCAAUCUUAUCAGGUGCACCAUCCUCAUUUCACAAAUGAGUAAACAGAGGCAUAGAGCAGUUGGGUGACUUGUCCCAGGCCAUACAACUAGCAAGUGACUGAGCCGGGUCUGAACCAGCAGUCUGCUCCAGCCCCACCUCUUCUGCUCAGACUGUGUCCACAUUCUCCCAGCCACUGGAUGUUGUCAGCACUUGACAGUUACAAUGAGAUGCCCUUCAAGAAACGGUGAGUGAAAGAAAGAGAACUCGCUUUGGAAAGUUACACCAGAACAUCAGCACAGGGACCCCAGGUCGCCCGGGAGAGAGCAGCUCUCAGACCAACAGACUCAAGGGUCCCUGUUCAGACUGAGUGGGUGACGGGAUCAAGAUGCCAGGCUCUGGAGCCAAAGGAGAACCUUGUUCUAGUCCCCACUUGGCCACUUUGUAGCUCUAUAACUACAACUCAGUGCCUCAGUGGCCAAAUCUGUAAAAUGGGGACAAACGGAGCUGUCACGGUGACUGAAAAUGAUGGUGGAGGUAGAGAGCUUAGCGUCACAGCUGACCCAUAGCUAGUGCUCAGUAAAUGGUAGCUACUACUCUAUUAUUAUUAACUGAGCUAAACAAUGCAUCACCUAUAAGGGGUUUAGCAGCCCUGGAACAGAAGAAAAAGGAGAGUCCUGGUGAUAAAGGGAUCCACCGGGGGUGCCUCAACUAACAUGUUUCAAGCAUUCAUGUUCAUUGGCAGGGUCAACUCUGGGGAGGCCAGAAGCUGUCUCAGCUUGAAACAACUGUCAGUCACCCUACUCUGCUGGCUCUGACCAUGCUCUGCUGCCCACCAAGGCCUACCUACUUCUCCAUGACUUUGAGUGCUGGGGUCCUAGGACGUUCCUGUUAACCGAUGGCCAACUGGUAUGAUUCAAGGUCCUUGUGAUCCUGGAUAAAGUGCUUGUACCCUGAGAACCAGAGCAUCUGUCGUGUGUUGACCUAUCAGGAUCCUGAGUCUAAAGGACUGGGGCCAGAUGCAAGGCUCUUUCUCAACAGAUCACAUCCUAUGUCCUGGUUAGAUUUCCUCCCUUUGACUCUGAGACUGGCCUCUCAUCUUUACCCAGGGACAGAGCCUGGCCAGAGCAGCCACAGGAAAGGCCCCCAGAUAGGACCCAGCGGGAAUUCGCUCAGACACUUGUCGCCUCUGCUUUUGGCCAGCAGAGGGUGCAGUUGCACGCAGCUGGGCCCACCAACUGAGUACCUUGUUGGCCACCGUGUACUGGUAAGAGUACCGUUGCUUGCCGCUCUUGUCCUCGUAAACCGUGGGCACGAUCUUCAAGAUGUAGUCGUGGGAGGCGAGAGCUGCAGGAAGGACACAGCAGGAUGAGGCAGGGGGACAGGCACUGACCAGCCGGCAGCUCUUUCUAUGCCACUUCAAUUCUAAACCUGCUUGGCAUUGCUGGGAGGCUGUUUCCAAAUUUUCAUUGCCAAACAGCCCUUCUUCGUUUCCCCCACUCUGGACACCAGGAAUUGAGAGACUCCAUCUAUCAGGAUCUUUACUCCUGCAUUGUGUAUGAUACUAAAAUUCUGGAAACAACCCAAAUGUCCAUCAACAGGGCAACCGUUGAAAGUGAACGGAAGAUCAGUUCUCCCUCCGCCUGGCCCUGUCAUAUUCCACCCUGACCCACCACUGCUGGAUGCGGGGAGGCUGCAGAGGGCAGGGACUGUGCCUUACUCAUCUCUUGUCCCGGAACCCUGCACAGGGCCUGGCUCAGAGCACACAGCGUCAAGUGCUUACUAAAUGAAUGAACGGAUGGAGGGAUGGCUGGCCGGCCAGAGGAAUGAAUGGAGAACAGAUGAAUCAGCUUCUGAUAAGCAUGAGGUAACCGGAAUCAAACACGAGGCGGAUAGAAUGCUGGCCGAAAGCUGCCAAAUGUCACCCAGGAAAGGUGUGAAUUCCCUUGCACCUUCUGGGAGGUUCCGAGAAGCCCAAAGACCCUUCUGUGGUUGCCUUCUACAGUCUCAGGUCAGGGAUCAUGGAUAUAAAAGCGCACGGGAAUUUAGCCUUGAGUUUUCGAAUCCUGGUCUACUGGCUGAAUCAGUUCUGAGUCCUUGGACUUCCUUGCUGUAAGAGGGUGGGGGGUGUAGAUGACAGCCAUGGCCUCUUCCUGCCAAUACUGCAUCUUGGUGAGAAAAGGGUAGUGCUUCCUGAAUUGUCUUGAGACCUGAGCCCUCUGAAAACCUCAGAAAAGCCCUGCAGCUUCAGGUCUGAGCCCAUGAAGAUCCCAAUACCCCACUUUCUCAAACCUGCUGUGGUCCUCGGGUAUCAGGAGCAGUAGAGUUACCCAGGAUUUAAAAGGCAGACCCCUGGGCCUCACCCCUGGAGAUCCCCGCUCAGUGGUUCUGGAGUGGGGCUCAGAAUCUUCAUUUGAGAUACAGCGCUCCAGAUGCCCAUCACCCCAGGUUAAAAACUUGAGGGAAAGGAAAGAGCGAACGCCUUAUGAAAAAUCACACUCGUGGAAGUUCUGUUACAAUUUGUACAAAAUACAGAGGAUCCUAAAAAGAAAAAAUAAAACCGCCCACAAAUCCGCCAUCCACAGAAAACCCUGGGUUCACGUUCUUGCGUAUAAACUGCUAGACUUAUACAUAUAUUCAUGUCUUCCUAAAAUUCGAUCAUACCGUACCUUUUUUCUAAGUACUAAACACCACAGAUACCAUUUUAGGCCCAAGACACAGAAGGUAAGCUCUGUAAGUGUUUCUUUUAUUUGCUGCAAAAUCCUCUAGCACAGGGCCUGGCACAUAGUACGUCCUCAAUAAACGUUUGCUGCCUGAAUGCCAGCAGAGGUCUGACACAUCAUGGUCAGUGGCUGCACGCAACUCCCAGCGCAGCCCCGUAAAUGUACUCAACCAACCCCCCCGACCCCAUGGCUAGACACUGACGCUGUUCCUCAUUUGCACUCUUGUAAACAAUGACCUAAUGAACAUUAUUUUCCUAAAUCUGUGCACACUCUCUUAAUUAUUUCCUUAGCUUACUCUCCUAUGAGUAGAAAUGAUGACUCAAACGCAAUGACCAUAUUUAGGGCCUUUGAUAGCCUUUGCCAAAUGCCCACUAGAGACACCGCACCUAAUUCCACCCACAUGGAUUCCUCGUCAGUGGACCCCCUCCAAGGGGCUGCUGGCUCCCACCUGAUCCUGUCAGGCCCACAUACCCUUUCGCUCCCUCCCAACAGCUUAUUAUGGAAAAAUUCAAACACAGAAAAAAUGGGGAAUCAUAUUAUGAGCCCCACAUACCUUAUUCCCCAGGUUUGGCAAUUAACAACACAUGGCCGAUUCUGCUUCAUCCCUACCCUACUGUCCCCCCCCACCCCAUUUUAUUUUGAAGCAAAUCCCAGACAUCACAUCAAUUCAUCCACAGAUAUUUUAGUUAUGUCUCCAUAAAAGAUAAAGACUCUUAAAAAACAAAACACAACAACCACAAUGUCAUCGUCAUGGCUAAAACAUCGACAAUCACUCCUCAGGAGGAAAACAGGUCACUCCAAGUGGGGGUUACUUUAGACAAGAUGCUCAGGGAGGGCCUCUCGGAGGUGGUGGCUUUUGAGCGGAGACCUAUACGACAACCCUCAGUGGGAAGAUCUGAGAGCAGAGAGGGCAGGCAGCAAAGGCAAAGCCCUGGCAGGGACAUCAAGCUGGAGGGCCGAGGGAAGGAAAAGCCAGCCCUACCCCUGGCUGCCUGUUGUCUGAUCUAAUGCAUUUUCCUUCCCACUGAAGCCAGCCCGGGAUGGCUUUCGUCACUAGCCCUGGGGCAGGCAGGGUUUGCUGCGCAUACGCUCUGGUUCCUUUCCUCGCUCGGUUCUAUUUCAAUAUCAGGCCGCCGAGGGGUCCAUGCUGACUGCAAGUGCACGUGGAUGGCCGCCUUGGGACAGCGCGCUGCCCUUACCCAGAACUGCAACGACUACACCAUCACCCGAAGGAUCAUCACCCUCACUUACAAUCAGACAUUUGCGUGAAAAGAAGAAGGCACUGCUCACACUCAUAUGCUGCAGGAGGCGGCACGGAACGGGCGCGCACCCAGGGGGAAAGCAACGGGAUAAUGUAAAUAAAGCAAAGACCGCAAAUAUCACAGACAUUACCGGAAUGGUAAAAAACUAGAAAAAACUAGACAGACAUUUUCCACGAGAAGACAAUGCCUUAAUAGAGCACAGCAGAGCUGUUAGAUGGGCGACCAUGCCUCUGUCACCACUGGAAAAACUAUACAAAAAUUGUGGUUAACGUAACAAUGUCAAGUACAAAAAUCAGAAGGUAAACUGCCGUCUACUUGCUUUGAAAAAAUGACCUCCGCUGAUGGACAAGCGUUCACGGGGACACGGAGAAAUGAAAAGUGUGAUUUGUUGUGGGGGGGGGGGGAAGGUUAGGUCAUGGACAGCUGUUUUCUUUUGCGUGAAUUUCUGACUAUCAGAGAGAACAGUGUAUUUUAAGAAACAAUGAGAAAAGCCUUAUGGGUAAAAAAAAAAAGUGAGCUCAG